UACAGAGACUGCAAGCGUUAUUCGGAUUCACUGGGCGUAAAGGGUGCGCAGGCGGCCAUAUGUGUCAGGUGUGAAAUCCCGGGGCUUAACUCCGGAAUUGCGCCUGAAACUAUGUGGCUAGAGUAUUGGAGAGGGUAGCGGAAUUCACGGUGUAGCAGUGAAAUGCGUAGAUAUCGUGAGGAACACCAGAGGCGAAGGCGGCUACCUGGACAAUUACUGACGCUCAGGCACGAAAGCGUGGGGAGCGAAA
rnacentral:rRNA from 1 species